AUACGAAGGGUGCAAGCGUUAAUCGGAAUUACUGGGCGUAAAGCGCGCGUAGGUGGUUUUGUAAGUUGGAGGUGAAAGCCCCGGGCUCAACCUGGGAAUUGCCUCCAAAACUGCAUGACUAGAGUACGGUAGAGGGUAGUGGAAUUUCCUGUGUAGCGGUGAAAUGCGUAGAUAUAGGAAGGAACACCAGUGGCGAAGGCGACACCCUGGUCGGAUACUGACCUGGAGGUGCGAAAGCGUGGGAAGCAAAAAGUAUUAACUCCCCGGGUGGUCCACGCGGUAAACGAUGUCACCUAGCCGUUGGGAUCCUUGAGAUCUUAGUGGCGCAGCUAACGCAUUAGGUUGACCGCCUGGGGAUUACGGACGAAAGGUUAAAGCUCAAAGGAAUUGGCGGGG
rnacentral:rRNA from 1 species